CUUUCGCCUCUGCAGUCGCGGGCGAAGGCGUUCGGCGCCUGCGCCUUUGCGCGCUCCGUUUACACGCUCCGGGGCCUGGAGACGCCGCGAGUUCCGGCUGUCGCGGCGGCUGCAGACCUCUGGGUCGGUUGCGACGAGUAACGGCGCCGGGGAUCGCUCUGCCCCCUCCUCCGACAUGUACCCGACCUGGGGCCGGUAUGGCGGGGCCAGCCAUUAUCCGCCGCCCCCGGUGCCUCCGCCGCCCCCGCCCGUGGGGCUCCCCGAGGCCUCCCCGGGGCCCGGCGGCUACUCGAGCGCGGCGGCGCCGGCGGCCCCUGCCUCCUCGGGCUUCCUGAGCUUCCGCGAGCAGCACUUGGCGCAGCUCCAACAGCUGCAGCAGAUGCACCAGAAGCAGAUGCAGUGCGUCCUUCAGCCCCAUCAUCUCCCCCCGCCGCCCUUGCCGCCCCCUCCGGUCAUGCCCGGAGGGGGCUACGGGGACUGGCAGCCGCCGCCUCCGCCGAUGCCCCCGCCGCCAGGGCCGGUCUUAAGCUAUCAGAAGCAGCAGCAGUACAAGCACCAGAUGCUCCAGCAGCAGCACCGAGACGGGCCCCCUGGCCCAGUACCCAUGGAACUGGACUCGCCGCCCGAAUCCCCCCCAGUGCCCCCCGGUUCCUACAUCCCUCCGUCCCAGACCUACAUGCCCAGUCAGCCCCCGCCUUCUUAUUUCCCCCAGUCCUCAUCCCAGUCCUACCUGGCACCAGCUCAACCAUCCCCUUCCCAAUCCCCACCCUCCCAGUCCUAUAUCGCACCUUCCCAAUCCACCUCUUCCUACUCCACCUCCUCUCAGUCUUAUUUGCCCCAUUCCCAGCCUUACUUGGCCCAGUCCCAGUCAUCUCCUUCCCACUCUUCACAGUCCCAUUCCAAAUCACAGUUGGCUCCACCACAACCCAGCCCUUCUGGUACAAGUACAACUGCCCAGCAAGAGCCAUUGGAGAGUGGUGCCAAGAACACAAGUGCUGAGCAGCCAGCCCCAGAUCCUUCCACUAUGACCCCACAGGAACAGCAGCAGUAUUGGUAUAAGCAGCACUUGCUUAGCCUGCAGCAAAGGGCUAAAGCACAUGCACAGGGACAGCAACCACUAAAGGGCCCUGGAGUAGUGAAAGAUGCACCAGAGCCAGUGAAAGAAGAAACUACAACAACCAGUCAAAUCCCUGAACCUCCUCCAUGUCAGGACCCCCCAUUACCACCCCCAAGUGAAGAGGUUCCACCUCCUCUCCCUCCUGAUGAACCCCAGUCUGAAGACUCUGAAGAAGAGGCCAGGUUAAAGCAAUUACAGGCUGCAGCGGCACACUGGCAGCAGCAUCAGCAUCAUCGAGUUGGCUUUCAGUAUCAGGGAAUAAUGCAGAAGCAUGCCCAGCUACAGCAGAUCCUACAACAGUACCAGCAGAUCAUACAGCAACCACCACAUAUACAGACUAUGUCUGUAGAUAUGCAGUUGCGGCAUUAUGAAAUGCAGCAGCAGCAAUUUCAGCAUCUAUUCAAAGAAUGGGAACGAGAGUUUCAGCAGUGGCAGGAACAGCUCCAUACCUAUCCUCACAAAGAUCAACUUCAAGAGUAUGAGAAACAGUGGAACUCAUGGCAAGGACAUUUAAAAGCUACUCAGUCCAGCCUUCAGGAGAAAGUGAGCACACUUCAGAAUGUGAAAAAUCAGUAUAUGGGAAGCAUGACAAUACCACCUCCAUUUGUUCCAUAUUCUCAAAUGCCUCCAGCAAUACCAACAAUGCCCCCUCCUGUAUUGCCUCCAUCUCUGUCAACAUCAUUACCACCACCAGUUAUGCCCCCUACUCUGCCUGCCACAGUACCCCCACCUGUGAUGCCCCCACCAGUGAUGCCUCCUCUACCAACAUCUGUUCCUCCACCUGGGGUGCCUCCAUCUCUGCCUUCAGCUGGACCUCCACCAGUUCUUCCUCCACCAUCUCUCUCUUCAACUGGGCCUCCACCUGUUCUUCCUCCACCAUCCCUUUCCUCAACAGCAGCCCCACCCGUAUUGCCUCCUCCACCUUUGUCAUCAGCAACACCCCCUCCAGGAAUGCCUCCCCCAAAUCUCAGUUCAGGAGUUCUUCCCCAAGGCUUACCCCCUCAAUUAACUACCACAUCAGUUCCACCAGCUACCAAUUCUCAAAGCUCAAAAGCUCCAGAUAAACCUAGACCAGCACUACUUCCCACUCCUAUAUCCUUUGGUUCUCCUCCUCCUUACCAUCCUCCAAUAAAAUCAUCCAUGGGCUCUUCAGAACAAGUGAACUCUAAAGUUCCUCUGCCGUUCAGUUCUUUCUCAUCUGAACAAGGACAUAUGGAAUCCAAAAUUCCUGCUACAGGAUCAUCACCUGCUUCAAAUCAGCCUGGGAGCACAAUUAAAGAUACACCAGUGAGAUCAGGUGGGCUGCUUCCAGAUCCUCCUAGAAGUGCUUAUUUAGAAGGUCCAAGAGGCGGUCCUAGGUUUGAUGGUCCUCGGGGAAGAUUUGAUGCACCCGGAACAAGAUGUGAAGGACCAAGACCUAAAGGACCUCGUUUUGAAGGACAUCGCUCAGAUGGGCCAAGACCCAAAUAUGAAGGGCACCAUCCAGAGGGUGGAUCUAAAAGCAAAUGGGGGACAAUUCCCCGGGGGCCAGCAUCUCAAUUUUAUAUUUCUCCAAAUACUUCUCAGGGCCCUCGACAAAGUGGACCACAGUGGAGAGGUUCUAAGCCACCUUAUGGGCAACAGCAGCAUCCACCCAAAUCACAAGCAGAAUCUCAUCUAGGAAACAAAGACUCUUUAACAGACCCCAGCACUGGUCAACAAAAGAACAGAAUGUCGCCAACUCCAUUUUCUCUUUCUGCAGAUGUGAAGGAUUCUAAGUCAUUUCAGUCCAAUGAGAAACUAAAAGAUACUCAGCAUGAUGUUCCCCAAACUGAAGUCCAAACAGGACCUAAUGAUCCUUCUAACUGGAACCAGAAUUCUCAAAAUAUGGAGAAACAAAUAGACAAAACUGGUCAAUCUAUACCUGGACAAUGCCAGAAACCUUUUGCAAACAAGUCUUCAUCUAUUCAAUCAACUUUCCCUUCACGAACAGGAGGAAUGGAUGGGGGAGGACCACCACCUAUUCCAUCGUUAACUGCAAAUAAUGAUUUAAAAUCUGUCAGUGUUGGUAUCCCCCAAUUAGAAAAUAACCAGGACAAAGGUUUGCCUCGGCUAGAUAACAGAGAUCAUAGACCAGAAGGCAAUAGAGGUAGCAGUUCAUCUUACAGAGGUAGGGGACAAGGAAGAAUUGAAGACAUGAGGGAUAAGAAUUUGACAAAUAGAGGGAGAGGACAAAUAAUCAAUCAAGGUCCUGGAAUGGGCAAACCAGAAGACAUUAGAGAGAAGGUGAUAGGCAGAAGAGAAGAGAGUCGAGAGAAAAUGGGCAGACAAGAAGGUAGUCGAGAGAGGGUGAUGGGAAGACGAUCAGGCAGUCGAGAUAGAGGGUUAGGGAGGCUGGGAAGUGGUAGGGAAAAAAUUCCAGGUCAGACAGACAUACAGGAUAGGGGGAGAGCAGGUAGCCGAGAAAGAGGACCUCCCCGAAGAGCCAACAGUCAAGAGAGAGGACCUCCUAGAAGGGCGGGGAGCCGGGAGAGAGGACCUCCACUCCACAGGGCUGGAAGCAGAGAGAGAGGACCACCUCGACGCCCUGGAAGUCGGGAAAGAGGACUGGGCAGACCAGAAUUUGGUCGGGAUAAAGGUAUUCCCAGAUUAGAUUCUAAUGUAGAUAAAUCAGUUAGAAUUGGAGAUGGAGAAAAAAUGCCCCCUUAUCAUCGAGAUGAAGCCUCUCGAGCUCCCUGGAAUCAUGGAGAGGAUAGAGGGCAUGAAGACUUUCCAUUAGAUGGUAGAAAUGUUCCUCCUUUGGAAAGGGAAAGACUUGAUGAUUGGGACAGAGAAAGAUACUGGAGAGAAUGUGAACCAGAUUAUCAAGAUGAUGUAGAUCCUUACAACAGAGAGGACAGAUUUUCAUUGCCACCAUCUCGGUCCCAUGAUGUUGAUCGGCGAGGACCAUGGUGGGAUGAUUGGGAUAGAGAUCGUGAUAUGGAUCGUGACUUCAGGGAUAUGGACAGGGACAUGGACAGAGAUAGGGACAGGGACAGGGACAGAGACCGGAUGGGAAGACCUAUGGAUAUGUAUGAUCGAGAAUUGGAUAGAGAAUGGGACAGAGAUUACAUGAGACCAAUGGAUGACCAAGAAUCACAAUUUCAUGAACGUGAUAUUCCCCCCCUUCCACCUUUGCCUCCUCUGCCUCCUCUUCCACCUUUGGAUAGAUAUCGAGAUGAUAGAUGGAGAGAUGAAAGAGAUAGAGAUCACAUGUAUGAUCGGGACCUUCGUGAUAGGGGGGAAUUAAGAAUUCGAGAAUAUCCUGAGAGAGGAGAAACUUGGCGGGAAAAACGGGAUUACCUUCCUGAGCGAAUGGAUUGGGAGAGAGAACGAUUGUCAGACAGAUGGUACCCAUCUGAUGUAGACCGACAUUCCCCUAUGGGGGAUCAUAUGCCACCUCUUCCUUCGUCACACCAUUCUUCUGAAAUGUUGGGAUCAGAGGGAAACUUAGACUCUGAUCAGUCUAUUGGAGGUGUAAUGGUCCUCAGUCAACGGCAGCAUGAAAUAAUUUUGAAAGCUGCACAAGAAUUGAAGAUGCUACGAGAACAGAAAGAACAGCUUCAAAAACUCAAAGAUUUUGCUGCUGAGCCACAGGCACCUGACCUCCCCCUGCCACCGCCUGAGCCACCAAGAUUGCAGACUACAUCUGCACGGCCCCCUGGGAUCUUUCAGCCUCCAGGUUCCUACAGGCCACCUCCUCCUAUGGGUAAACCACCCCUUCCAGGGAUGAGACAGUCUGCUCCAUCAGCAAGACCAUCUAUUCCUAUAACAAGGCCACCUGUCCCAAUUCCACCUCCCCCUCCUGUGGUAAAGCCACAGCCUGCUGCUAUGGAACAAGAACGUUGGGAUGAAGAUUCUUUUCAUGGACUCUGGGAUACAAAUGAAGAUAAAGGACUGAAUUCAGAAUAUACCUCAGAAACAGGUCCACCACCUGUUGCAAUGAAAGCACCACCUAUUCAUCCUUCUAUUCCCCCUCCAAGCCCAAUUCCUGUUGUUAUGCAGUCAAUGUCUAAACCCCCUCCAGUGCAGCAGACAGUGGAUUAUGGCCAUGGCCGUGAUAUAUCCACCAAUAAAGUUGAACAGAUACCCUAUGGGGAGAGAAUAACUCUGCGUCCUGACCCCUUACCAGAAAGAUCAGCUUUUGAGACAGAGCACCCAGGCCAACGAGAUCGUUAUGAUAGAGAUAGGGAUCGUGAACCUUAUUUUGAUCGUCAGAGCAAUGUCAUGGUAGAUCAUAGAGAUUUUAAAAGAGAUCGAGAAACACACAGAGACCGAGAUCGUGAUCGUGCCAUUAUUGAAUAUGAUCGUGAUCGGUUUGACAGAGAUCGUCGUCCUCGGGAAGACCGGGCACCUCCAAUCACACCUUCUAGGACACAGUCUUAUCGUGAUAAAAAAGAUCAUUCCUCAUCCAGACGUGGUGGAUUUGAUAGACCUUCAUAUGAACGUAAAACUGACAGGCCAGCUUAUGACCAUGGACCUUCCAUGUUUGGAGGAGACCGAAGGACUUAUCCUGAGGAACGGAUGCCUAUGUCUACACCAUCACUAAGUCAUCAACCACCUCCAGCUCCUCGAGUAGAGAAGAAACCUGAAUCUAAGAAUGUUGAUGAUAUUCUAAAACCACCAGGCCGAGAGAGCAGACCUGAAAGAAUAGUCGUGAUAAUGAGAGGAUUACCAGGCAGUGGAAAGACACAUGUUGCAAAACUUAUUCGUGAUAAGGAAGUAGAGUGUGGGGGACCUGCACCUAGAGUACUCAGCCUGGAUGAUUACUUUAUCACUGAAGUGGAAAAAGAAGAGAAAGACCCUGACACAGGAAAGAGGGUGAAAAAAAAGGUGAUGGAAUAUGAAUAUGAAGCUGAUAUGGAAGAGACUUAUCGUACCAGCAUGUUCAAAACUUUCAAAAAGACCUUGGAUGAUGGUUUUUUCCCCUUCAUAAUUCUAGAUGCCAUUAAUGACCGAGUUAGGCAUUUUGAACAAUUUUGGAGUGCAGCAAAAACCAAGGGCUUUGAGGUAUAUUUAGCUGAAAUGAGUGCAGAUAACCAGACUUGUGGCAAAAGAAACAUCCAUGGACGAAAACUUAAGGAAAUUAAUAAGAUGGCUGAUCACUGGGAGACUGCACCUCGUCAUAUGAUGCGCCUGGAUAUUCGUUCUUUGUUGCAAGAUGCUGCUAUUGAAGAGGUGGAGAUGGAAGAUUUUGAUGCAAAUAUUGAAGAGCAGAAAGAAGAAAAGAAAGAUGCAGAGGAAGAGGAAAGCGAACUGGGUUACAUUCCGAAAAGCAAAUGGGAGAUGGACACAUCUGAGGCAAAGCUAGACAAGUUGGAUGGCUUGAGGACUGGUACUAAGAGGAAGCGGGACUGGGAAGCCAUUGCCAGUAGGAUGGAGGAUUAUCUUCAACUUCCAGAUGAUUAUGAUACCCGAGCUUCUGAACCUGGAAAGAAGAGGGUAAGAUGGGCAGACUUGGAAGAAAAGAAAGAUGCAGAUAGGAAAAGGGCCAUAGGUUUUGUGGUUGGACAAACUGACUGGGAGAAGAUCACAGAUGAAAGUGGUCACCUUGCUGAAAGAGCCCUCAAUCGCACCAAAUAUAUCUGAGACUUAGUUAUUGAAUGGAGUCCUUUUUGCCUUUAAGGAUGAUUGCUUUUAGGCACUCUGAAGUCAAGGACCUAUGGAGAUCCUUUGGGGGUCACAUCGCUUCCAAGUUCAGUUUUAUGUUUUGUUUCUGCUGCUUUAGUUUUUACAAGUUUCUCUAAAUAUUGGCAGAUGAUCUCCAGUGUCCCCCAAGAGAGGUGGUCUCGUGAAUGCCGUAGUGCACAGCAUGCAGUGCCGCCAAGCUCCUGAGAUCUUUGGUGAAACCUUGUUUGCUGUGGGGAACUGUCAUCACCAAAAGCUACCUCCCUGGGCAUCAACUGCAGUGGAUAACUAGAGACUUUUGAUAGCCUCUGGCUGAUUGGCCAUUGUCCAGCUGAUAGUAGUGAGUGAACUGCAGUGCAUUUAAGGUCUGUGACACUUCCUGCAGCAAGUUGACCUGAAGCACUAUGUAAGUGUGUCCUGGAUCCCUCAGCUAACACACUAGGUACUUAAACUACAUAGCCAAUUCUGGAUAUCACUGACUUAUUACUAUGUGUUAUGUGUAUCCCAUAGAGCUGGGAUACUUAUUGAAUAUAUCCAUUGUGGACAACAUAGAAAUUCAGCAUCCAGCCAAGGAGGGCUAGGAUAUAAUCCUAUGGAAUCCUUACUAAAUUCCAAAUGCCACAUGUAAGGUAAUCCUACAUAACAUGUGUGAAGCUAGCCAGUUGCAUUUAACUGAUGUAAUUUCAUAGACUCAGGGAAGAGAAUACUGGCAAAGAAAUGGUAAUAGUCCUAUUUAUUUUUUGCUUUCCCCAUCACUAAAGCUAUAUAUUCUUUGCACUUUCAUACAAAUGCAUGUUAAGCCCAGACCAGUAUUUUUCUGGCACAUUAUUCUGCAUUUCUUGCCUUGAAAAAGGACAACUCCUUUCCUCUAGUAGAUUCUUAAUUCUGAAAUAGCUCCUGUGGACAGUUGGAAGAUUUGAAUAUCUCAGGAAUGUCACUGUCCAGUUUUGAAAUGAUUUUAUAAAUGGGUUUCUUCCAGGAGGGGUCUGAGUCUUUCCCUGCUGUGACAGCAUUGAAGAACUCCUGCAGUGUCAGGCUGGCAAUUUCCAGGAACUGGUCUGGGACCUGCCGAGGCACAGAAAUGAACAAAUGACAAGGCCACUACACAUAUUAAACACUAUACAUUUCAUGGUGAGUGUUGGGAUAGGCACAACUGGCUUACUAAAGACAGCACCAAGGAGCUGAGAUCCUCCUUGACUUUUGUGGGGAUAAGGUUCAGGGUCCCCUUCAACAGACACUAAAGAAUAUAUUCAAACUAAAUGGUGGCCACAAAAAAAAUCUUCCCUUGAGCACACAAGGAACAUUCUAUAUUACCAUUUUUAUAAAUCACCUACAACAAAAUACCUUGCUGUCAUAAAGAAUCCAUGGUUCAAACACCAUGGCUUUUUUUCCCCAUUGUUUUCUUAUAAACCUGACAUAAUGAAUACUUUUGCUCAUACCUAAGCACUCCCAAAUCCUCCACUUCCCACCUCCAACUCCUUCCCUGUAAAGCCAACUCAAGUAUCUCAGAAUUCUUUGGUCCCCAUUGUCAACUGGGAGGCAAGCCCAGAAAUCUGAUUCAAGCCAGACUAUAAAAAGUGGACCCAAAUUCCUAGAAUGUCACCAUUAAUGCGCAGGCUACAUCUGUUAAUUCUGGCCUUAGAGACCCUGGACUUCACUGGCCUCUGCAUGUCAAAUGGUUGUACUGAAGUUUAGAGAUGUGGCAUUGAAUUUUCACAUUAAUUGUUAGUGCUUUGUUUUUUAAGUAAACCUGAAUAAAUCAAGUAAGGAUAUGAAACAGCUUUGCUAUUCCAUGUGCCAGUCAAAAGAAACUUUUUAAGAAUCAAGUUGAUAUAAUCAGGGAGCAGCCAGAAUUUACAGAAUCUAUGAAGGAUUGAGGAUAGAAAGCUCCCCAGACAGUUCUAUAUAAUCUUGGGGGAUUUACUUUACUUUUCUGGGACUGCUUCCUUGUCUGUAAAAUGAAAGGGUUAAAUGAGAUGAUCCCUAAACUCCAUUCCAGCUCUCAUUGAUAAUACUCAAGACAAAAGAAAGUCUAGUUCAAUUCUCUGGUUUCCAAAAAUCUUUUUGUAAUUGAGUACCUUGCCAACUGAAAGUCAAUAUCUCCUUUCCCAGAGGUAGUCAUUUACCUAUUUGUAAUUGUGACCAAAUACUGAUUGAUGGAUAGAUGAGUAGAUGAACAAAUCACUUAAUCAUGUAGUUUUUAAAAGGGGAGAAUCAUUAUGGAAUCAAUUCUGGCUCAGAGAAAACAAUAUAUUGUAUUAUAAUGAAUUGUCAGUGGUAGUUAAGAGAUUUGUCUGCUGUUUUGUAACAGAAACAUCAAUCAAAUAGGCUAAUUGUGCACUUGUAUUGACAGUUUUAUCACUGAAUUAUACAGAAAAUAUCUUCUUCAGAAAGAUCCUAAAAGAUUAGAAAUUUGAAUGUUGGCUAAAUAGUAACAUGAAGGUAGAUUUUUCUAUCUUUCCAGACCCAUAUUUUCUAAAUACAGUGAGACAAUGAAAUGAAGAUUUGUUCCACUCAAUUCUAUUCCUACUCUUUGGUGGUGGUAAUUUCUGGGUUAACUAUGUCUAGAUCAUUUUUCGUAAUCUUCCAUUGAUCUCUUAAGAAAAGCAAUAUCAUAUUCCCUUAAACUCUCAACAUUACCAACAAUAUUCCUACAAAUAUUGAUUAUAAUACCUUGUGAGAAACAAGGUAAUCUUACCUCAAAGUCAUUUCCCUUAUUAUAAUGCAUGUUGAGGGUCCGGAAGAGUUCUGAAUUCCUAAGAACUUUCAGCACAUUCGGAUUUGUGAUUCCCUCAGAGAUAGCUUGUCGGGCAAAUUUUUCCAUCUGGAUGUAGUAAAAUUCACGAAAAUUACUGAACCACUUAAUGAGCUGGGAGGUAAUGCAGCGAUUAAACUGAAAAAAAAAAUUAACAGGUCAAAAAAUUAAAAUGUGGUCUCCUAUUCUCAUGAGACCCUAAAAUAUAGAAUUAUAAACAGCCAGUUCAGAAUGGUGGGGUGAUAUGAAUGGCUUUUUGGCUUCUCAAAAAAGCUUUGCUUUUUAAAAAUUUUUGUGUCAUGGUUAUUUUCCAUGUCCUUCAUUUAGAAAUAGAACAAAAUCAAAGUUGUAUUGUCCAUUAAGAAAAAAUUACUUCUUUGACUUUCUCAGUUCCACUUGGUUGUGGUUUUUAGUUCCCAAAGUGAACACUUCAUUGUAUGCAGUUGGGAAAGAGAAGCAGCAAAAUAUAGAUCAGCAGAACCAAGUUCUUCUGCACACAGUUAGACCAUAUGACUGCUGUCAAACAUCCCACCAUACACCCAAAAGAGAAUAAGACAUUGAGGUAGUAUGUGUGUGUAGGGAUAAGAUUCAAGGAAAGAGCUUGUCAACAACAUUCAGCUACAAAAUAAAUGCAUUUGAGGAGGACUAAGUCAAAUUUUGCUUCAGACAGAACUCACAAUAUCACCUAUUAAAGUCCUUUUCAUCAUAGACAGGACCAAGAACAUAGGUCACUCAACAAAUUCUUCUUUGAUGAUUGAUAAACAGAAAUCCUAUUUCCAACAAACCAAAUCUGGGUUUCACUUUACUCUGUCAGGGCUGGCAUGUAUGGAUCCAUAGGUUAGGUCAGCCAACCCUCAUUCUGAAAUACUGGAAGUAGGAAAUAGAUAUAAAUUGCUAAUGGUACCAAAUGCAUUACUUCCAAUCAUUCUUUUUUCAAUGUUGUAUCUCAUUGAUUAGAACCUUUUCAGUGGCAAUAUUAGACCUCAUGGCUUAAUUUACUGGGGCAUUUGAGGGCUUUGGUCCAUAUGAGGAAUACUUGGACUGGGUUUCCUCCCCAUGCCCCAAUUAAAAGAAAAGUAAGAUGUAGUUAGAGGAUUUGUUGGUAUUCCUUGUCAAUCUGGUGCUUUCAGAACAAUAGGGAUGUUUUGUAUGCUAGAUUGUUGUAAAAUCAAUCUACAAAGAGUUAGGGGAGGAAAAAACUACAUUCCUAAAGCCUUCCUCCAGGGAUGUUCUGGUAAGAGAUUUACAACCAGCUCUCUGGCAGGAAGGGGGGAAAAGUGUGCAAAACAUACCUUAAGUUUAGUUGCAGCAUUAUUACCACUUUAAGUCUAGAAAUCAUCAAAGCAAUAAAUCAAGCCCUAAUUUAUAGCAUUUGCCACUAUUGAAGAUGCACGUGCUCACACUGAAAAUUUAAUAAUUGACUCUUAAGUGAACUAGCUCUAGCUAUCUCCAGUCAGCACACCUCUGCCUGCCUGCUACACUCCCCUCUGACUGGUGGUGAAUCAAGAUCAGGAUAGCCAGCCCUAUAACAGUUACCUAAGGGAAACUGUGAUUAUUCCUAGGACUGAUAACUCAACACUUAUCGUCUGGAUAGAAAAUGGAAAGAGACUUCUCCUGCUGCAUCUCUCUGUGUUAAAAUUUUGUCUGUGAACCUACUGAAUAAAAUUCCUGCAUGUAGCCCUGACUGGAUCAGAGCUCUCUAAUGAUCUUGUAACUCUGCUGUUAAAGUAAAUUACUAUAACUAGAGUGGUGUGUAGUGGGAAGAGCACUGUCCCAAGGCCAGAGACCAAGUCUUGGUCCUGGCACUGGGUUUCCAACAAGUCACUUGACCUCUACAGUAAGUUUCCCCAAAUGUGAAAUGAGGAAGUUGGACCAGAUCAUUAAGGUCCCUCCCAUCUCCUAAUAAUCUAUGAUUUUAAGACCUUCAAAUAAAUUUUUUUAAAGCUUGCUAAAACUUGUACUUAUUCUUGUCUACUUUGUAGCUUGUCUCUGCCUACUCAGCCUUCUUAAGGUCAAAUAAAGUUUGUAUUUCAUUGUAUUUUCUACAACUAACCACUUGGGGGAACUAAAGUACAUAAUUCGAAGUAGUAAGACUGCUUAGUUCUCUUCUCCCUAGCUAAGUAAAACCUGUAAAGUGUUUUCAAAAUUAUUAAUUGUUGGCAUUAGCUCUGCAAAUGAAUUGAAUUGCUUUUACCUGAACAUCAGGGAAAUAGGCUCUCAGGAGGCUAGAGCUUGGA